rnacentral:rRNA from 1 species
UACGUAGGGACCAAGCGUUGUUCGGAUUUACUGGGCGUAAAGGGCGCGUAGGCGGCGUGACAAGUCACUUGUGAAAUCUCUGGGCUUAACCCAGAACGGCCAAGUGAAACUGUUGUGCUAGAGUGCAGAAGGGGCAAUCGGAAUUCUCGGUGUAGCGGUGAAAUGCGUAGAUAUCGAGAGGAACACCUGCGGCGAAGGCGGGUAGCUGGGCCGACACUGACGCUGAGGCGCGAAAGCCAGGGGAGCGAACGGG